rnacentral:misc_RNA from 1 species
GGCUAUCCAGGUCAGCGUAAAGCAAAGGUUGCUGAUUUAUCUAAGUUUGGCCGUCCAGUAAGUAGCCAUUAUUUGCUAACCUUUCAAUUUAUUUUGGAGUCACUGUUCUGCACUUUUUUAGUAGUACUUCAUGACAUCACGUUUACAUGCCAUUGUGGCAAUUUUAUUGAUUACAUGUGGCUUGACAUUAGGCCACGUCUUUAGAAUAUCACUUGUAUGCUAUCAAGAUCACUUUUGCCCCUGGGCUUUAGAUAAGGUGCUAAUGAUAAGGGGCAACCUUUAUUGCUGCUCUCUCUCCCCCCUCUUUGUCCUUUUCUUUUUUAUCUUUUCCUUCUUUAUUUGAUGCUUAUGUUGGAGGGAAACUGGGCCACACUUGAAGAGAGAAUCAGAUUAACUCAAUAAUGCCUUAUUCUUAGGUUGGCUAUGAUUUGAAAUUGGUUCUUGCAAAAAGGAAAAAAAGAAAAAGAAGAAGAAAUGUUGCUGGUUCUUCAGUUUUUGACAGUUAAAAGAGUGAUUUUCCGUAUCGCUGUUGUUUCACAUAAUUAGAUUGAUUUCCGAUGCUAUCCUAUUAUGUACUCUUCACAGCAAGAUGCUGCUCAAGUGAAAAACUAAAAUGAGUCUAGUCAUGAAUAAACUAAUGAUUAUCAUGAUACUGGGUUUGCAAUUCAGUAUCAAGAUCUAGAUUUUUUUAUGCGGCAUAAAUCUUUGUUAUAUACAUAAAGGGUCUACUUCAGAAGAAUUAUUCAAGUUACUUUUUUGAAGGCCAAAUUUCGGAGCUCAACAUGGUGGAUAAGGUACUUUCUUCAGAAUAGAUUAGAGGAGAAUGAAGCUGCUGCAAAGAAGUUUGAGCAGGCUUCAGUAAAAAGGUCAUAUAAGCCGGCCUGCCAAGUUUUCCAUCUUAAAUCAUAUCAUUGAGAAUCUCUACAUCACUUCAAGCAUUUGCUCUUGAUGCUUCUUGGCAAAAA